rnacentral:rRNA from 1 species
CCCUCAAGAUGAGAUUUCCCAGUAUGUAAGACCCCUUGAAGACGACGAGGUAGAUAGGCUGGGGGUGGAAGUGCAGCAAUGCAUGGAGCUGACCAGUACUAAUCGGUCGAGGGCUUAUCCAAUA